UCAGCUCAUUGGUCUUUUUCCCUGGAGUA
rnacentral:piRNA from 1 species